ensembl:lncRNA
AUUGGCUAAAGGAUUAUAAAACAAGGGAGGUGUUGUUUUGAUUUUUCAUUAUGAGAAUCAAGUUAAUCAAGCUAUUAAUCAAGCUCAUUUUACUUCCAUUUUAUGGUCUCAGAAAACUGGAAUGGAUUGCUCAGAAGAAUACAUAAGAAUGGAGAUGGAAUGUGAACCAAAGAAAUCAUUUCGGAGAGGUUGUCCAUGUACCAGACAAACUGGGAUACUUGUGCUUCUAGGAACAGUCUGCAUGACUAUUUUCAUGGUCAUGGCUUUUGUCAUCUGUGGUGCCCUAGAAAAUAAGGUUGCAGAGAUGCAGACCUUAGUUUCAAGCCUGAGUUCAUAUUUGAACACAUCUGGAGCAAGUAACCCAAUGACUAGGGAACUGCAAGAAAAGGAAUUGUCUAAUAUUAAGACCUUGAUGACUGAUCUUGUCUCCUCACUGAGUUCACUCACAUCCAAACAAGAAGAAAUCCUACAAAAGUUAGAGCACCAGCAGAAUGUGUCACACACUGAAGUGAAGAGUUUGAUGGGCAGUUUGAGUUCUUCAGUAUUGGCUCUUAGGGAUAAACUGACAGAGCACAGUUCAAAUUCAUCUGUUUUUUCUCUACAGUCUUUUCAACACACACAACUUAUUUUGAUGGACAUUUCAAGAUCACUGAUGGGCCUGAGUGAUUUCAUGGGAGACACGAGAUCAUCUAUUCAGUUACUUUCUUAUAAACUAUCAUUUACCAGUAAGUAAACUCUAAAUUCAAAGUGUAAUAUUGUGCUCAAAUAUAAUGCAGCUUCUGUUUCAAUGAUGUUAUGCAGCAGAAUAACCACUGUUAUUUUACCAAGAAAGUUAAUAAUGAAGGUGCACCAGGUACAACAGGAAUGACAGCUUUAGUUACAGUAUUUGAAGGUGGUCAAAGUAAAUGAGGAGAAGCACUGUGGGGGAACAAUAUCUGGGUAGGAUUACAUUUAUUAGACAAUAGAUUAAAUUUUUAGACAAAAAGUUGGUUCUGUAUUCUUUUACUGAGGGUGUAAAAAGCAAAAAGGGGAGGUUUACCCAAAUGAAAAUUCUGUUGAUUUAAAUUAAUUGUUUAAUAAGUUAUGUUUCUUUUGAUUUUGUUUUUACUGUGAUGAUUUGAUUAAAUGUGUUGCAUGACUGAGUAAAAAAUAAUGCACCAUUUUGCACUCUCUUUCUUUCUCAUACUUACAUAGACUUGCUUACAUCAGGCUGUACUGAACCCGAUUGGAUCCCGUUCAGAAACAGCUGUUACCUGUUCUCUUAUGAUGUUAUGAAUUGGACCAAAGCAAAAGAUUACUGCGAAGAGCAGGGUGCGGUACUCUUAAAAAUAGAAGAUGCCUCUGAGAAGGAGUGGGUAUGUGGGUACACAAACACUAACACAGACACACUCUCUCUCUCUCUC